GUAUUGUAUGAAAGGAGAGAAUGUUAACACUCCCCUUGAUAAGAAUGAAAGAGUUGUUAGUGGCCUUUAUAACAGAUAUAUGGUAAAGGCAUUGCUACCUAUUCUAUGGCAUCUAACCGUAGUAC